rnacentral:snoRNA from 1 species
ACGACCUUACUGAACAGGAUCUGAUCUAUAGGAUCGUACUAUUGUAUCCUUGAUUUCUAAGGAGGCACGAACAAAAAAUUAUCUAGAUUCUAAGUUU